rnacentral:rRNA from 1 species
GAUGAGCCGAAGUCGGAUUAGCUAGUUGGUGAGGUAACGGCUCACCAAGGCGACGAUCCGUAGCUGGUCUGAGAGGACGACCAGCCACACUGGGACUGAGACACGGCCCAGACUCCUACGGGAGGCAGCAGUGGGGAAUAUUGGACAAUGGGGGCAACCCUGAUCCAGCGACGCCGCGUGGAGGAUGAAGGCCCUCGGGUCGUAAACUCCUUUUGCAGGGGAAGAAGAAUGUGACGGUACCCUGCGAAUAAGCCCCGGCUAACUACGUGCCAGCAGCCGCGGUAAUACGUAGGGGGCGAGCGUUGUCCGAAGUUACUGGGCGUAAAGCGCGCGUAGGCGGUCAAUUAAGUCUGGGGUGAAAGGUUCAGCGCUCAACGCGAACAGUGCCUUGGAUACUGGUUGACUUGAGUUGGGGAGGGGGAAGUGGAAUUCCGGGUGUAGCGGUGAAAUGCGUAGAUAUCCGGAGGAACACCGAUGGCGAAGGCAGCUUCCUGGCCCACAACUGACGCUGAGGCGCGAAAGCGUGGGGAGCGAACGGGAUUAGAUACCCCGGUAGUCCACGCCGUAAACGAUGAGUGCCAGGUGU